rnacentral:rRNA from 1 species
UAGGGAAUCUUCCGCAAUGGACGAAAGUCUGACGGAGCAACGCCGCGUGAGUGAAGAAGGAUUUCGGUUCGUAAAACUCUGUUGUUAGGGAAGAAAAAAUGUAUAGUAACUAUAUACAAAAGAGACGGUACCUAACCAGAAAGCCACGGCUAACUACGUGCCAGCAGCCGCGGUAAUACGUAGGUGGCAAGCGUUGUCCGGACUUAUUGGGCGUAAAGCGCGCGCAGGUGGUUUAGAAAGUCUGAUGUGAAAGCCCACGGCUCAACCGUGGAGGGUCAUUGGAAACUAAUAAACUUGAGUGCAGGAGAGAAAAGUGGAAUUCCGAGUGUAGCGGUGAAAUGCGUAGAGAUUAGGAGGAACACCGGUGGCGAAAGCGGCUUUUUGGCCUGCAACUGACACUGAGGCGCGAAAGCGUGGGGAGCAAACAGG